ACUACUUUGAUCGCGCUGCAUUCCACCAGAAUGACUUCAUUUAAACUUCCUCAGACAACCUUGGUGAUUGUGUCGCUUUGACAACCGCUACACCGUAACCAUUUGAUAGCAGACACACCACAACAAUUCUCAAAUGACAAUGCCGUGAAAGCGCCCUCGAGCGGGAGAGCAAAUCAAUUAGGAAUUGCUUAAACAUUCGAAACUCCCUCAUAAAAC
rnacentral:lncRNA from 1 species